CAGUUCGGAUUGCAGGCUGCAACUCGCCUGCAUGAAGUCGGAAUUGCUAGUAAUCGCGGAUCAGAAUGCUGCGGUGAAUGCGUUCCCGGGUCUUGUACACACCGCCCGUCACACCACGGAAGUUGGGGACGCCCGAAGUCACUUAGCUAACCCUUUUGGGAAGCGAGUGUCGAAGGUGAAAUCAAUAACUGGGGUGAAGUCGUAACAAGGUACC
rnacentral:rRNA from 1 species